CCGGAGAUGGUGUACCGCUGGCCUGAGGACGGUUCAUCACAACAAGUUCUCAGAGAUUAUGUUUCAAACUGGCAGAUCUUUAAAAAAUAAAACAGUAUAAAAUACCAAGGUGUUGUAGCUGCUCGUGGAGAUGACGAUGUCGCUGCCAACCUGAGGAUCAGACAUGGAGACAAAGACGACUUUAUGUACAGUUAAAGGCUUAUCUUUCAGGGCUAAACUUCUUGUCCAAGUUCUACCUUCACUGGUGCUGGUGUCUCCACUGUUGAAUACCCCCCCU